UAUAAAAUUUUCCAAACAUUAACAAAAAUCAGUCCUAAAAGUGCCAUGCUGUUUGAUUCUAAUGUACUCUUGCUUUUCAAAUCAACUUUGCCUCUGACAAAAUAAAUCUUGCACUUCUCAUCCAACUAUAGGGUCUGAAGAAGUUUUAAGAUUGCACAUCCCAUUGCCAUUGAAAUCAGCAAACCACCGAUCAUUGGACCAGGUCGAGGAGCAUGGUAGAUCUCUCGACAACAACAAGGACCAGGUCGAGGAGCGCGGUAGCUGUCAGGUUUGCAUUGUGUGAUGUGAUUUUGAAGCUUGUUUGUGCGUGUGGGUGGGGCGAAGAGAGCACGCACGAGAGAGGGUUUAUGAGGGAACUCUGGAGUUCCUAUUGUUGGUGUGCACUUAUGUGAGAUAGAUUUCUUUCUCUCUCUCUUUAUUUAUUUAUUUGUUUUUUUUUUAUUUUUUUAUUUUAUGUUUUUUGUAUGGAAUUAGAAUUUUGGUUUAAUCAUGCUGUAGUUCUCCAAUUGUCUUGUAAAUGUAUUUGAAAGCCUUAAUUUUCCCCACGCACACCAAAAAAAAAAAGAAAAAAAGGAGAGACAUGAUUGUGUACUUACUAAGUGUACCACAAAAGUGAGGAGAUCAAACUCAACAAACCAAAGAGUUGAGGAUGUAAGCUUGAGUGAUGCAACAGACUCGGAGAGAAGUAGAUCAAACUCUUAAAGGGUAGGGGGAGAGGCCAAAUGACAAUGAGAAUUGCUCUAGUGCUUGCUUGUGGACAACCACCGCACCACAAGAGAUUGAGGAAUGGAGGUCAUAUGCAUAGAUAUGUUAGGAAUGGAUUAUGAAUGAGAGAUCAUCCUUGGUUAUGACAAAGAAACAGGAGUUCCCUUGCCAAAGCCCCUUGACUCUUAAAAAAAUAAAGGUAACUUCAGAGCUGUCCAUUGAUGAAGACAUAGGAGUAGGGAGAGGAAGAUAUUUGUUUGUUGAAUGUUCCAAAUAUGACAGUAGAUAGAGAAUUUUCACUUCUUGAUAGAUUGUUACAUUUUAAGGAAUUCUCGAAUAAAGAAAUAUUAAUGUCUUAGUUUCUUAUUCCUUCCUGAAGAUUUGGAAAAAUCCCAUUGAGCUCUUGCUUUAAAUUGCCCAAAAAACUUCAUCAACAUUUAACGAUACCUUUUAAGCUUUUGGUUGACAGUGGGGGCGAUUGUCCAAAAAACUCAUUGAUUGGACUGGGAAUCACUGUGUAAAGAAGAAAAAUGGAGGCCAGGGAUUCCGCCAGCUGGAUGCUUAUAAUUGUGCUCUCUUGAUGAAGCAUGGGUGGAAUUUCUAAGUAGAGA